UUUGCUGCUUUUUCAAGUCUUUUGACUGUCACAUUAGGUUAUCCGUGGUGCUAGAGUUUGAUGAGGUGGGGAAUCCCUGUCAUAACCACCUGCGAUCUUGUGGCUGUAAAGCUGUUUUGGUGGCUUUUGUCCCCAUUCUGUACUGUGUUGAAAGUUUUUCUUAAAUGAGCCUGGAAUUAACCUUCUUGCAACCACAGCAGACCACAGCAGAUGUAAGGCUAAGACAUUGUUAAGUGAAUCCUGCAGGAAAUUUUAACCUGUGAAAUCUCUUUGCCCUUGUAAAUAAUGUUUAUAUGAUUAGUUUGAAGACAGCAACAUUAGUGAAAUUUUCCAAGUUGGGAUCUUGCCAAGUUGAUUUUCCCUCACCAAAAUGAGGCAAGGCAAAGCAAGGAGAAACAGGAAAAGAUGAACAAGAUGGUCUGGUACUUGAGGAGUGGGUGGGUGGCUGCAGAAAAAUCCUGGUUGGCAGGAGCUGAGAAUCUCUGCCAGAGACAAUGCCAACCUGUGGCAGGUUGGAUCCUAGCUUGACUUCUCCUAGUGUUGUCCACUCACAGAAACAGAUUUUCCUCUGACUCUAGCGAAACUGGCCAAAGCCCAUAGACUGUAGGCACUGUUCUUGCUGUCCUUGAUGUGGUCCUUCAGUUCAGCUCUGUUCAUGUAGCAGCAUGAUUGAACCCAUACGUCUGAAUAGCUCUGUAAUAAUAAGGCAUUUGGGUUUUUUUCAAAGCAAAUGCAAAGCAUUUCACCGCGCACACAGUGGUGCUAAAUAUAAAUUGUGUAGUUUCUAGCAGUUAUUCCAUAUAUGGACUCUUCUUUUUCUCUUGUCAUCGUGGGCCGGACUAGGAGAGCUAUGUCAGAGAAACUGUAUGUGAUUGGUAUGCUUGACCUGGACAGCUGGGAUCCUUAUGUUCUUGUUCGUCUCAGCUGGCAGUGAGGUGGCAGGUGAGCACCAAGAUGAGAUGGCAGUGUGGCACAGUACCUCCUCCAUGUCUCUGCUUUUUUGUGGACCUGCCUGGGUCUCUCCCCCCAUAGCUGCUCAGCGGUAGUGGGGUUGGGGGUGAAUUCAUGACAUUCACCCUGAGCUGUCUGGUGGCAGGGGUAGAGAGAGAAGCACCCAUAAAUAUGACAAGAGGAAGAAGAGAAGGCCUAAGGGUGACAGCAACUUGUUAACAAGCAGAAGUCUGAAUAAGCUUCUGUUAUGCUGGUUGGUCUUGUUCAGCAUCUGAGAGAGAGCUGGGAGAGGGGAGCUUGUGUAUGAAUUAUGGGAUCUGUGACAAGCACAUGGAUUUUAACUUACCAGAAACGGGAGCUGAAGAAGACCUCCCUCCAGCUUGUAAUUUACGUAUUCUGAAGGCAUGGGGCUGCUCUGCUGUGCAUUACAGGCAGCAAAGCGCAUGAGAGAAGUGGGCACCAUGUGCAUGAAAUCAAGGUACUGCUGUGCGUUUUUCUACUUGGGUUACUUUGAGCAGAGGGAUUCUGCAGAUUAGAUCCUCUGUUUGCUCCUGGAUACUAUGCAGAGUCUCAUCGUCUCUGCCCCUUCAGGAUCCUCCCUGCCAUGCACUGUUACUUGAACCCUACGUUUUAGACAGAACAGCAGCAACUGGUUCAGUGGGUCCCAGAUAGCCUCAGCAUCACAUAGCAAAAGCAAAGGCUGUGGCAGGAAGCGUGAAACAAGGACCAGUGGUAUGUGUCUCACCAGAGAGGUGUCUGAGGAGCGGCAGACCUGCUGCUGGGAGGUCUGCCAGGUUCCUCUUUGUCUGCACAUCAGAGCGGGUAUCCGUACAGGUUUUCCUUUUAUCAGCCCUGUUGCUAAGCCCCCAACACAACAAAGUCCUCAUCUGUGUUUACAGGAUCUCGGAUGUUCCUUCCAUCUCUUGGCAAGGCAAAGCUGAAAAUACCCACAGAUGCUCUGAAGAAGAGAGAGCGUUCCUGUGGGCCCCUGUCACUGGAGAUCUGACAGUCCCCACGGCGGCAUCCCGGGAGCUCCAGAAAUCCUGGCCCUGAUUUUUGCAAGUGUUGGACCGUUCCUUUCCUGGAGGUGAGAGCUGGUCAGGAGAAAUUCCCCGGGUGCAACUUUCUGUGGAAACUGUGGCAAAUGGACGAUUUCAGGAGGUGGGGAGAGACAUCAGUGACCUGUGUCUGGCCUGUCUUCUUUCCUAAGACUUGACAUGAGACCUCUCUGCUCUGGUCCGUGUGGUGGGGAAGAGCCUCUCAUCUGGCAGACAUGCUGGCAGACAGCGUGGUGCGCAUCCAUUGAGGACCACGUAAACCGGCUGCAGCUGGCUGGACGUCGUGGAUCAGGCUGACGGGCUCUUUCUGGUGUGUUGGGUCCCAAGAAGCAGCGCUGCUGUGCUGUAUCGCAAACACGUGGAGUACGAGUGCUGCAGGACAGCGUGUGGGACAAGGGCCGGUGGAGCAUAGGGUUUCAUGCAGAGCAUACAGUAUUUGGCAGGCCUGCACGUUGGGGCUGCCUGGGAAAUCCUACGUAUGUCCAUGUUCCUGGUUGUCUGUAGCUGGCAGUCUGGCAGUCUGCAGGUUUAUUUCCAUUUUACAGAUCGGUGUGGGGCUGUAGACUCCCUGACAGAAGAGGGCCUUCAUCUAUGACCAGAGGUCCUGGUCACUCUUCUCCCUAUGCCAGUACAGCCUAUUUUGUCGAAAAGUCACUUGCUCUGAACAUGAUCUACAGGAGUACCCUGAUUAUGCGUGUCCAAUUCCGAAAUAAGUUGUAAAGUAGCUGUAAUUUCACAGCUUGGCUGUUAGAGAAAUAAAGUGCAUGACAGUCUC